CAGCUCACAUACCCCAUCCUCUUUAAGUAAUUUCUCUUUUCUUUUUUUCUUCUUCUUUACAUGUGGCAGCUCACAUACCUCAUCCUCUUUAGGUAAUUUCUCUUUUCUUUUUUUCUUCUUCUUCUUUACAGGCAGCUCACAUACCUCAUCCUCUUUAGGUAAUUUCUCUUUUCUUUUCUUCUUCUU